rnacentral:piRNA from 1 species
UAUUUUAGGCAUGGUGUAUGUUACACU